UCUCCAGCAUGUUCUGGGCAACCUGUUCCAGUGCCUCACCACCCUCACAGCAAAGAAUUUCUUCCUAGUAUCUGAUCUAAAUCUACCUUAUUUGAGUUUAAAACCAUUACCCCUUGUCCUAUCACUACAUGCCCUAGUAAAUCUGAACCAAAUCUUUAAAGGAAUCUGCCAAAAUGUGAGACUGCAGCUAGUGACUUAAGCUGCUGAAAGGAGGAGGUGCCACUUUUCCCUCAAUUCCUGUUGCCCUCCCCAGUCCCUGGCCAUGCAGUCUCACCUGCCACCUUCUGCCAUGGUGGUGGCCACCAGAUGCUUCUGUGAGCCCAUUCAGCUCUCUAAACUCAUGGAAAACUGCCCAAGGAUUUACUGGAUUUUUCUCAUACCAUUUUAAAGAGUUAAAUCAGCCUGUGGAGAGAAAUGUAAAGAAGCAGCCAUAGGUAGGCAAGAUCAGGGAGGGAAGGGAAGCAGGAUAUAUUUCAGUCUAUGUUCAGGUAAGCUGGUAAUUGAGCUACCCACAUCUUGUAAGAAUCUGAACCUCACUUUCCUGUGCUCUCAGGUCUGUGUUUGGUGAUCUGCUUGGAAGGUGAAAUCCAGUGAUUUGAUUUUCCAGAGCGAAUGGCUCAGUGGCUCCCAUGACUUGGAGACCAGGCUCUGAUGUCUGUUCUGGAAACGUGGCCUUCAAGGGCAUCAGCCUGACAGAGCCAUUUCCCUGGGCGUUAGCGGGAUUUCACGGGAUGGACCUGUGGUCUUCCAAGAAGGGACCUGCCCCAUGCAGGGUCUUAGCUGGUGUCUGCUGGAAAUAAAAUUGCAUCUUCCAAAAUUUUGUACAUCUCACCCUUGUUUAAAACUAAGUCAAGCUGGCCUUUAUACCACUAUUUUAACUGUCUUCACAUACAUUUUUUUAGUUGGAAUUAAAUUAGAGGGAGUUAAAUUAGGCAGGGGUUAAACUGGGGGGGAGGGGGUGUAGGACUCAUCAGAUGCUUUGAGAUGCUGCCUCCACUCUUUCACAAUGUUUUUAGUGAUUAUUUCACAGUGGGUUAGUGAUGAUCCAAUGGGCCUUGCGACCUUGUACAUAAUUCUGUAUAUUUAUUUUGAGAGAUAAUAUGUAUAGUGUUUGGCUUAUGAGAAUGGAAACCUGAAAUGGGAAUUCUUAGGUCGGCAAAUGUAAAGCAAAAAAGCAAACAAAAAUACAAUCUUAUUUUGUAUAAAAUGUACAUUUUUGAGAAAAUUUUUCUAAUGCAUUACCAAUGUUUUCAUAGUGCUGCCACAUCUUUUUUAAAGUGUUUCUCCUUCUUUGUUUGACUAUUGACAACAUGGUGCAAUUAAACCUAAAGCAACUGUGUGAGUGAGAGAAAAAGAGAGAAUGAGAAAUUUAAAAGCCAUAUAAUUUGGUUUACUUCAUUAACCUGUAUACCAUCAUAGGUUUACCAUCUAAGAUAGGUUGGUUUUAUAGAUAGUGUCACCAAAGACUUUUUUUCUUCAGAUUUAUUUUGAAAAGUUGUUAAUAAAGGACGUACAUUUCUGUU